UACGUGAGGGUGCAAGCGUUGUCCGGAAUUACUGGGCGUAAAGCGCGUGUAGGCUGCUCGGAAAGUCGGGUGUGAAAGCCCUGGGCUCAACCUAGGAAGUGCACUCGAAACUUCCGAGCUGGAGUGCUGGAGAGGAAGGCGGAAUUCUCGGUGUAGAGGUGAAAUUCGUAGAUAUCGAGAGGAACACCGGUGGCGAAGGCGGCCUUCUGGACAGCCACUGACGUGGAGAACGCGAAAGCGUGGGGAGCAAACAGG
rnacentral:rRNA from 1 species